GACGAACGCUGGCGGCGUGCCUAAUACAUGCAAGUCGAACGCAUUUUCUUUCACCGUAGUUUGCUACACCGAAAGAAAAUGAGUGGCGAACGGGUGAGUAACACGUGGGUAACCUGCCCAUCAGCGGGGGAUAACCCUUGGAAACAGGUGCUAAUACCGCAUAAUUCCAUUUACCGCAUGGCAGAUGGAUGAAAGGCGCUCUUGCGUCACUGAUGGAUGGACCCGCGGUGCAUUAGCUAGUUGGUGGGGUACGGGCCUACCAAGGCUGCGAGCCAUAGCCGACUGGAGAGGUGGUCCGCCCACACGGGAACUGGGACCCGGUCCAGAUUCCUACGGGAGGAACAAGAGGGGAAUUUCGGACAUUGAGGGAAAGCUGGCCGCAGAAAUGCGGCGUGGGUGAGGAGGUUUUCGGGAUUUUAAACCCCUUUGUUAGGGGAGGACAAGGAGUAGAGUAAAAAGUUCAUGCCUUGACGGUACCUAACCAGAAAGCCACGGCUAACUACGUG
rnacentral:rRNA from 1 species